CGGCGUUUCGGCUCAUAUGACCAGAUGAUCAUAUUAUCUCAACCGUCCAGUAUUGUGUGGGGAUCUGUUCUGUCAGGUUUUGUCAGGCGAGGUCGUCACUUUGAAAAUGAGCUAUACGAGUAAAGCGGGCGCACUGUUCAUCGGUACGUAGACCAAUAAAUGAUGUGGGUGAGCUCCUCCGUCCAUGACGUAACGACGAUUUUCUUGAGCCGGUGGAGCAGGAAAUUGGAAGAAAAUCUGGACUGCCGGUCCAAGAUUUCGUCUUGCGUUUAGUUUCUACUUAGAGUGGCUGUAAGGUGUUAAGAACGAGUGAGCAGCUGGCAAAAUUUUGGCGACCGCGUCGGCGGAGCAACGUCGCCGCCUACUACUGGAGGUUGGAGCCAUGGAUUUCCCUACGAAUCCGGUAGAAAGGUUCGAGUUCGGUGACUCGACCGCUAUGUAGUCCUUAUUGAGGCGGAAGGAAAAGAGUGGCGUGGCUGCUGUGGUGGAGGGGAAAGGCGGCUCUGCCAGGUGCUGACUCGCCGCCGCGACCUGUGAUGUAUCUGGGAUGCAUUUUCCGCUAUAUCCAGUAGAAAGGCUCGAUUUUGUUGAAUCAAGCAGGUGUUCCGGCAGGUGUUGUUUGGUUUCAGAUUCAGAAUAAUGCCAGUGGCAGGUCCAAGCAGGCCGACCUGAGAUGAUAAAAAUGUUUUUAUGCAAUGAAAUUUGACAUGGUAAACCAGUAAGGUAUAGCACUCGUCCAAUGUCACAACCGGCAAUGAUCCGUUCGCGGCCUAAAACCUCUGGCCA